GGCGAACGCUGGCGGCAGGCUUAACACAUGCAAGUGGAACGGGCACUUCGGUGCUAGUGGCAGACGGGUGAGUAACGCGUGGGAACGUGCCUUUCGGUUCGGAAUAAUCCAGGGAAACUUGGACUAAUACCGGAUACGCCCUUCGGGGGAAAGAUUUAUCGCCGAAAGAUCGGCCCGCGUCUGAUUAGCUAGUUGGUGAGGUAAAGGCUCACCAAGGCGACGAUCAGUAGCUGGUCUGAGAGGAUGAUCAGCCACAUUGGGACUGAGACACGGCCCAAACUCCUACGGGAGGCAGCAGUGGGGAAUAUUGGACAAUGGGCGCAAGCCUGAUCCAGCCAUGCCGCGUGAGUGAUGAAGGCCUUAGGGUUGUAAAGCUCUUUUGUCCGGGAAGAUAAUGACUGUACCGGAAGAAUAAGCCCCGGCUAACUUCGUGCCAGCCGCCGCGGUAA
rnacentral:rRNA from 1 species